rnacentral:rRNA from 1 species
UUUCGCAAUGCCCGAAAGGGUGACGAAGCGACGCCGCGUGAGUGAGGAAGGCCUUCGGGUUGUAAAGCUCUGUCAGGAGUUAAGAAAUAUAAGUGUGCUAAUACCACAUUUAUUUGACGAAGGCUCCAAAGGAAGCCACGGCUAACUCUGUGCCAGCAGCCGCGGUAAUACAGAGGUGGCAAGCGUUGUUCGGAGUUAUUGGGCGUAAAGAGCACGUAGGUGGGUUUGUAAGUCAGAUGUGAAAGCCUUCUGCUCAACGGAAGAAUUGCAUCUGAAACUGCGAGUCUUGAGUGUAGGAGGGGAGAAUGGAACUUCUGGUGGAGCGGUGAAAUGCGUAGAUAUCAGAAGGAACGCCGGCGGCGAAAGCGAUUCUCUGGCCUAUUACUGACACUCAGUGUGCGAAAGCUAGGGGAGCAAACGGGAUUAGAUACCCCGGUAGUCCUAGCCGUAAACGAUGGGCACUAAGUAGAGGGGUUUU